UGGAUAAUGAAAACUUAUCAUGCCUAUAGUUAGUAUCCUCUUUAAAAGAAUUUACAGAGCCUAUGAAAUUAAAUUCUGUGCACAGUUCUCUUAAUUUGUCCUUAAUUAAACAAUACUCCAUAAAUGGUGCAUUCAGUGACCAAAUGUUCAGAGACAGCAAAAUGGUGGGUCCCAAGCCAUUAGGAAUGAAAUAAAGGCAGUCCCUGGAGAGUCUGCAAGAAUCUGGUCUCUCUAAGUGACAACUGAUGGUUUAGGAAAGAUAAUUAACUUUGCAAUUACAAACUGCAGCUUUCAC
rnacentral:lncRNA from 1 species